rnacentral:rRNA from 1 species
GAUGAACGCUAGCGGCAGGCCUAACACAUGCAAGUCGAGGGGCAGCGAGGUCAAAGCUUGCUUUGAUUGUCGGCGACCGGCGCACGGGUGCGUAACGCGUAUGCAACCUACCCAAAACAGGGGGAUAACACUGAGAAAUUGGUACUAAUACCCCAUAACAACAGAAGAGGCAUCUCUUUUGUUUGAAAACUCCGGUGGUUUUGGAUGGGCAUGCGUUGUAUUAGUUAGUUGGUGAGGUAACGGCUCACCAAGACGACGAUACAUAGGGGGACUGAGAGGUUAACCCCCCACAUUGGUACUGAGACACGGACCAAACUCCUACGGGAGGCAGCAGUGAGGAAUAUUGGUCAAUGGACGCAAGUCUGAACCAGCCAUGCCGCGUGCAGGAUGACGGCUCUAUGAGUUGUAAACUGCUUUUGUAUGAGGGUAAACUCAUCUACGAGUAGAUGACUGAAAGUAUCAUACGAAUAAGGAUCGGCUAACUCCGUGCCAGCAGCCGCGGUAAUACGGAGGAUUCAAGCGUUAUCCGGAAUUAUUGGGUUUAAAGGGUGCGUAGGCGGUUUGAUAAGUUAGAGGUGAAAUGUCGGGGCUUACCCUGAAACUGCCUCUGAUACUGUCGAGCUAGAGAGUAGUUGCGGUAGGCGGAAUGUAUGGUGUAGCGGUGAAAUGCUUAGAGAUCAUACAGAACACCGAUUGCGAAGGCAGCUUACCAAACUAUAUCUGACGUUGAGGCACGAAAGCGUGGGUAGCAAACAGGAUUAGAUACCCUGGUAGUCCAUGCAGUAAACGAUGAUAACUCGCUGUCGGCGAUACACAGUCGGUGGCCAAGCGAAAGCGAUAAGUUAUCCACCUGGGGAGUACGUUCGCAAGAAUGAAACUCAAAGGAAUUGACGGGGGCCCGCACAAGCGGAGGAACAUGUGGUUUAAUUCGAUGAUACGCGAGGAACCUUACCCGGGCUUGAAAGUUACUGACGAUUCUGGAAACAGGAUUUCCCUUCGGGGCAGGAAACUAGGUGCUGCAUGGUUGUCGUCAGCUCGUGCCGUGAGGUGUCGGGUUAAGUCCCAUAACGAGCGCAACCCCUACCGUUAGUUGCCAUCAGGUCAAGCUGGGCACUCUGGCGGGACUGCCGGUGUAAGCCGAGAGGAAGGUGGGGAUGACGUCAAAUCAGCACGGCCCUUACGUCCGGGGCUACACACGUGUUACAAUGGUAGGUACAGAGGGCAGCUACCCAGCGAUGGGAUGCAAAUCUCGAAAACCUAUCUCAGUUCGGAUUGGAGGCUGAAACUCGCCUCCAUGAAGUUGGAUUCGCUAGUAAUCGCGCAUCAGCCAUGGCGCGGUGAAUACGUUCCCGGGCCU